rfam:Lechevalieria aerocolonigenes strain NRRL B-16140 contig179.2, whole genome shotgun sequence.
GCAACUCUGGAAAGCAGGCUCGUCACGAGCCUCGCCCACGGUGCAAGUCGCGCUCUGCGCGGCGAAGCUCUCAGGCUCAUGACAGAGGGGGAGGC